rnacentral:rRNA from 1 species
GUAACGGCGAGUGAAGCGGCAACAGCUCAAAUUUGAAAUCUGGCUCUCGGGCCCGAGUUGUAAUUUGUAGAGGAUGCUUUUGGUGAGGUGCCUUCCGAGUUCCCUGGAACGGGACGCCAUAGAGGGUGAGAGCCCCGUCUGGUUGGACACCGAUCCUCUGUAAAGCUCCUUCGACGAGUCGAGUAGUUUGGGAAUGCUGCUCUAAAUGGGAGGUAUAUGUCUUCUAAAGCUAAAUACCGGCCAGAGACCGAUAGCGCACAAGUAGAGUGAUCGAAAGAUGAAAAGAACUUUGAAAAGAGAGUUAAAAAGUACGUGAAAUUGUUGAAAGGGAAGCGCUUGUGACCAGACUUGGGCUUGGUUGAUCAUCCGGGGUUCUCCCCGGUGCACUCUUCCGGCUCAGGCCAGCAUCAGUUCGCCCUGGGGGAUAAAGGCUUCGGGAAUGUGGCUCUCUCCGGGGAGUGUUAUAGCCCGCUGCGUAAUACCCUGUGGCGGACUGAGGUUCGCGCAUUCGCAAGGAUGCUGGCGUAAUGGUCAUCAGUGACCCGUCUUGAAACACGGACCAAGGAGUCGUCUUCGUAUGCGAGUGUUCGGGUGUCAAACCCCUACGCGAAAUGAAAGUGAACGCAGGUGAGAGCUUCGGCGCAUCAUCGACCGAUCCUGAUGUUAUCGGAUGGAUUUGAGUAAGAGCAUACGGGGCCGGACCCGAAAGAAGGUGAACUAUGCCUGUGUAGGGUGAAGCCAGAGGAAACUCUGGUGGAGGCUCGCAGCGGUUCUGACGUGCAAAUCGAUCGUCAAACAUGGGCAUGGGGGCGAAAGACUAAUCGAACCUUCUAGUAGCUGGUUUCCGCCGAAGUUUCCCUCAGGAUAGCAGUGUUGAACUCAGUUUUAUGAGGUAAAGCGAAUGAUUAGGGACUCGGGGGCGCUAUUUAGCCUUCAUCCAUUCUCAAACUUUAAAUAUGUAAGAAGCCCUUGUUGCUUAAUUGAACGUGGGCAUCG